GGUCACACCUGUUCCCAUGCCGAACACAGAAGUUAAGCUCCUUAGCGUCGAUGGUAGUCGAACUUACGUUCCGCUAGAGUAGAACGUUGCUAGAC
rnacentral:rRNA from 1 species